AUGCCAUCAGGACAUGCUCUUUG
rnacentral:miRNA from 1 species